UGCUAAAAGUCCUAAUUAUGGACUGUUUUGAACACGGAUCAUCCCCAUACUUCAUUCAAAUCCAACCAUCGCUUUUCCUUGAGUUUACAGCAGGGCCUCCUCUUCCUCUUUGGCCUCUUCCUUGGCCACCUCCCUCUCUUCCUUGGCCACCUCCCCCGCUUCCUUGGCCACCUCCCCCUCUUCCUUGGCCAGCUGCCCCUCUUUUUUGUCCAUCUCCUCCUCCUUGGCCACCUCCUCUUCCUGCUCCUCUCCCGCCACCUCGUCAAUGCUUCCAUUUACCCAUAUGAUGUCUCCUUUUCUUCUAACAACAAAAAGAGAUUAAGAUACUACUAACACAUGAAGGAAUAGUACUGUAUGUUCAUGUAGUAUCAUUAUUCUUGAAAGUAAUAUGAAA